rnacentral:rRNA from 1 species
AAAUCAGGUAGGACUACCCGCUGAACUUAAGCAUAUCAAUAAGCGGAGGAAAAGAAACUAACAAGGAUUCCCCUAGUAACUGCGAGUGAAGCGGGAAAAGCUCAAAUUUAAAAUCUGGCGGUCUUUGGCCGUCCGAGUUGUAGUCUGGAGAAGUGCUUUCCGCGCUGGACGUCAA